UACUUUUCCGUUAGUCCCGCCCACAUUAGUUCGUGCAGUACAGUGAUGGAAGGGCGAGCGGGUGAUUUGAAUUUAUUUCAGGCUAAGUUCGAAGUGGACCGUGAGAUUAAUAUUAGUUUAAAGCAAUCUUAAUGAGCAUUAGUGAGCAGGCGAACUGAUUUGAACACUUCCGUCGAUCAAUUCGGAACCGAGUGUGAGGAAAAAUACGCUCCCUUUCAGCGAGAAGGCCACAGCGGACAUCAUACCAACCGAUCAAAUGGCUGAGAGUUUCGGGGCUAAACCUAAGAGACAGGGUGAGAAGUUCUCACAUCCGGGAGAGACUUGGAGUAGAUCCAAUCUCCUCCCUGCCAAAAGCAACCAAUAGUUCAGACAUCUGGUUAUGAUGCCUCCUGGUAGAAGUGCUCCACGCAUGUCCAACUGUCAAGAGACUCCAGCGCAGACCUAGGAUGCACUGGAUGGAUUUUAUCUCCCGGCUUGCCUGGGAACGAACCCCUGGAGGAACAGGAAUGGAAGUGUGCAAGGAUAGAUGCUGACCUGUCUCUCUUCAGUCUGGCUCUGGGUUGGAGUAAUAGGCUUGAGUGUGUAUGAUGGGGUGGCAAACAGAGAAGGCCGACCUGCCUAACACCCCCGCCAACACUUCACAUGUGCUUGCCCGGCCAUGAAAAACUACUUGAAGAGCCGAGAGGUCAGGCAAGUACUCAGAUGAGAUGCAUCAAGGGAAAAGAUCUGAUUUUCAAUCGAUCAAAUACCAGUGAAAGAGCACCUCGUAAAAGUCCACGACAGUGUUCCACGACACUAUAAAGACCAGCGUAGAAGAGCUCACAAGAGUAGCAGCAGGAGAAAGAGAGAAAGAAAAGCAACAAAAGUGGCAGGAUAAAAGAAAUCUUGAUUUUGUAUGAGAGAGUAUUGAUUUUUUUUCCACUGGGUUGCCCAUGAGCACCCUUUCUGUUAUUAGUUUAGAGAAGGGAAAAAAGAAAGAAAACGGCAUAUACACGAAAGAGAGAGAGACAUAUUGAUAAAGAGAGGGAGUGCAGGAUGAGAAAAGUAAAAGAAGGGAGUGGGGAAAACGAGACAGGCAGCAGAAAGACUUGGAGAGGCCACUGAGAGCGAAAGAUGAGAGACAUGUGAAAGACAUGCGGUAUGUAUACGCUGUUCAGCAUGCAAAUGUUCUGUUUUCAUGAAUUACCUGGAAGACCUGCUACAGUACAUUAGCAGAAAUGUGCAGGAUACAACCAGAGGACGAAUGAAGACGCCAUUUUUACCAUAUUUUUCUUGACUCAGUUUUUGAAUGCUGUCAUGAAGCAAUAUGGCUUCGAUUUCCACAAUGCACGCAGAUGUAGCUUGUAGAUGAGAGAGGUGAGGCAGGUUCAUGUCCUUGCAGGUCUAUGCCGCAACCGUUAUUGUCCUAUAUUUUAAUCAAGCCAUUAGAGAGGUCGAGCUUCUGACCUCCAUGCCCAAUCAUGUUGGAACUGCCAGGCCAAGCACUGCUCUUUCAGCUCUCACUCAAACUCCCCUUGGACAUUUGGUCCUUUUAAAUAUUUUAUGUUCCUUACCAUACGUACAAGUCAGGAGGCUCAAAGUGUUAGUUUACAUUGUCUUUAAUGUAUGGAAGUAAAUUAAUGCCAAAUGUUUUUGAAAUAAAAAGCUUGUUGAA